rnacentral:rRNA from 1 species
AUCAUUACCGAGAGCGGGGCCUCGCGCUCCUGGGGGCUUCGGCCCCCAACUCUUCACCCUGUGUGUACCUAUCUAUGUUGCUUUGGCGGGCCUCGAACUCGAAGGGUCACUUUCGCGCCGGGCCUCGGCCCGGUGAGCGCCCGUCAGAUGCCCUCUUAAAUUCUGCUUAUCAGUGUCGUCCGAGUACCAUAACACAAUAUAUUAAAACUUUCAACAACGGAUCUCUUGGUUCCAGCAUCGAUGAAGAACGCAGCGAAAUGCGAUAAGUAAUGUGAAUUGCAGAAUUCAGUGAAUCAUCGAAUCUUUGAACGCACAUUGCGCCCCUCGGUAUUCCGGGGGGCAUGCCUGUUCGAGCGUCAUUACACCCCUCAAGCGUAGCUUGGUAUUGGGCUCUCGCCCCCGCGGCGUGCCCGAAAAGCAGUGGCGGUCCGGCGUGACUUUAAGCGUAGUAAACAUAUCCCGCUUUGAAAGUUCGCGUCAGGCCGGCCAGAAACCCAUCUAUAUGCUUCAAUAAUUGAC